GGCGAACGGGUGAGUAAUGCAUCGGAACGUGCCCAGUCGUGGGGGAUAACGCAGCGAAAGCUGCGCUAAUACCGCAUACGAUCUGUGGAUGAAAGCGGGGGACCUUCGGGCCUCGCGCGAUUGGAGCGGCCGAUGUCAGAUUAGGUAGUUGGUGGGGUAAAGGCUCACCAAGCCAACGAUCUGUAGCUGGUCUGAGAGGACGACCAGCCACACUGGGACUGAGACACGGCCCAGACUCCUACGAGAGGCAGCAGUGGGGAAUUUUGGACAAUGGGCGCAAGCCUGAUCCAGCAAUGCCGCGUGCAGGAAGAAGGCCUUCGGGUUGUAAACUGCUUUUGUACGGAACGAAACGGUCUGAGUUAAUACCUCGGGCUAAUGACGGUACCGUAAGAAUAAGCACCGGCUAACUACGUGCCAGCAGCCGCGGUAAUACGUAGGGUGCAAGCGUUAAUCGGAAUUACUGGGCGUAAAGCGUGCGCAGGCGGUUUUGUAAGACAGGCGUGAAAUCCCCGGGCUCAACCUGGGAACUGCGCUUGUGACUGCAAGGCUGGAGUGCGGCAGAGGGGGAUGGAAUUCCGCGUGUAGCAGUGAAAUGCGUAGAUAUGCGGAGGAACACCGAUGGCGAAGGCAAUCCCCUGGGCCUGCACUGACGCUCAUGCACGAAAGCGUGGGGAGCAAACAGGAUUAGAUACCCUGGUAGUCCACGCCCU
rnacentral:rRNA from 1 species